rnacentral:rRNA from 1 species
CUACGGGAUCACCAGUGGGGAAUAUUGCACAAUGGGCGCAAGCCUGAUGCAGCCAUGCCGCGUGUAUGAAGAAGGCCUUCGGGUUGUAAAGUACUUUCAGCGGGGAGGAAGGGAGUAAAGUUAAUACCUUUGCUCAUUGACGUUACCCGCAGAAGAAGCACCGGCUAACUCCGUGCCAGCAGCCGCGGUAAUACGGAGGGUGCAAGCGUUAAUCGGAAUUACUGGGCGUAAAGCGCACGCAGGCGGUUUGUUAAGUCAGAUGUGAAAUCCCCGGGCUCAACCUGGGAACUGCAUCUGAUACUGGAAAGCUUGAGUCACGGAGAGGGGGGUAGAAUUCCAGGUGUAGCGGUGAAAUGCGUAGAGAUCUGGAGGAAUACCGGUGGCGAAGGCGGCCCCCUGGACGAAGACUGACGCUCAGGUGCGAAAGCGUGGGGAGCAAACAGGAUUAGAUACCCCAGUAGUC